UACGUAGGGGGCGAGCGUUGUCCGGAUUUAUUGGGCGUAAAGAGCUCGUAGGCGGUUUGGUAAGUUGGAUGUGAAAUCUCCAGGCUCAACUUGGAGGGGUCAUUCGAUACUGCCAUGACUAGAGUUCGGUAGGGGAGUGUGGAAUUCCUGGUGGAGCGGUGAAAUGCGCAGAUAUCAGGAGGAACACCGGUGGCGAAGGCGCUCAUCUGGCCCAAUACUGACGCUGAGGCGCGAAAGCUAGGGGAGCAAACGGG
rnacentral:rRNA from 1 species